AUUCUGUCAAUUUGCCCAUUGGAUUUCCUACUUUAUAUCAGAAUAGUAAGGUUUGAUUUCUAAUGAUGAGGAUUGACAGAUUGG
rnacentral:precursor_RNA from 1 species